rnacentral:lncRNA from 1 species
CCCACAAGGGCUGCCCUGUUUGGGAGGAGGGUCUUUGCAGAUGGAUUUGGGCUCAGAUGAGGUCAUCCUGGAGUCAGGGGGCCCCAACCACUGCCUCAUGUCCUUGGAUGGAGGCCAUGUGACAGAGGCAGAGAGUGGAGUGAGGUGUCUGCAGGUGAGGCAUGCAGGGAGGGUCGUGAGGUGAGAAGAGGUCCCCGAGAGCCUCCCACACCUUGGAGGGGCAUGGCCUCAUGGACGCCUUGGCCUCAGGUGCCAGCUUCCAGAACUGUGAGAUGCACCCUCUGUUGUUUUAAGCCCCUGGUUUGUUAGAAUGCUCCCAGGCCCCACACACUCGUUGAGCAGCUGUUAGCUGAGCUCCUGUUGUUGGGGGCCCAGCAGCGCGUGGAGCCUAUAGGCUUUGGGGCUGGGAAAUGAGCCCCAGGUUCAGCAGGGGCUCCCCAGCAGGGGCGAGUGCCCCCCGACACAGCACAGACUCCUUGGCCUUAAAUAUGCAGCUUCGUCUCCAUCUCCAGCUGAAAUGGUUUGUCACCUUUGCUACUGGGAGAUGCUCAUGCUGCUGGGAUAGUGUCCCUGUCCCUCCUCAGCCCAUGUCCUAAAGAAAGUGCCCAGUGGCAACCAAAAGCAUGUGCACUGAGGACAGUGUUAGGGGCUCCAGGUAGCCAAAGGGACAUGGCCUGCCUUUGGCUUCUCCAGGGAACACCUCCUUCACCGUCACCUCUAGACAGCACCCUAUUCACUGCCACCUCCAGGGAGCACCUCCUUCACCAUCACCUCCAGGAGCACCUCCAUCACCUCCAGGGAGCACCUUCUUCACCGUCACCUCCAGGGAGCAUCUCCUUCACUGUCACCUCCAGGGAGCACCUCCAUCACCUCCAGGGAACACCUCUUUCACCAUCACUUCCAAGAGCACCUUUAUCACCAUCAUCUUCAGGGAUCACCUCUGUUGUUGGAGGGAAGCACCUCUGUCACUGUCCUCUCCCUCCUGGGCUCCAAGUCGUGACUGGUCAGCCUCAGUGCAGCCAAGGGGGGCUCUAA